rnacentral:tRNA from 1 species
GGGGAUUUAGCUCAGUGGUAGAGUGCUUGCCUAAUAAGCAGAAGGCCCUGUGUUCAGUCCUCA